AAGGUGCGAACCUUAGCUUAGGUGUUUUGUAACGUGUAAGGUCCGUGUACGUGGCACACCCACUUACUACUUUUUAUUCAGUUUCUGUUGAAAUUUGGUUGCUCUUCUGUUUCAUUUUAGUUGCUCUAUUUUUAUUAUAUUGCUUUUUUGUUUCUGAAAUUAUACAAGUAUCUUUUUCUUAACAUCAAAUCAUACGUAGAUAUUGAAUACUAAUCAUAUGUAUACGUUUAAUCUCUAAUAUCAGAAAAAUUAUUUUGUAGGCAAAUG